GAUGAACGCUGGCGGCGUGCCUAACACAUGCAAGUCGAGCGAUUUACUUCGGUAAAGAGCGGCGGACGGGUGAGUAACGCGUGGGUAACCUGCCUCAUACACAUGGAUAACAUACCGAAAGGUAUGCUAAUACAAGAUGAUAUAAGAGAUUCGCAUGGAUUUCUUAUCAAAGCUCCGGCGGUAUGAGAUGGACCCGCGUCUGACUAGCUAGUUGGUAAGGUAACGGCUUACCAAGGCGACGAUCAGUAGCCGACCUGAGAGGGUGAUCGGCCACAUUGGAACUGAGACACGGUCCAAACUCCUACGGGAGGCAGCAGUGGGGAAUAUUGCACAAUGGGCGAAAGCCUGAUGCAGCAACGCCGCGUGAGCGAUGAAGGCCUUCGGGUCGUAAAGCUCUGUCCUCAAGGAAGAUAAUGACGGUACUUGAGGAGGAAGCCCCGGCUAACUACGUGCCAGCCGCCGCCGUAGAAC
rnacentral:rRNA from 1 species